rnacentral:rRNA from 1 species
UACGUAGGGUGCAAGCGUUAAUCGGAAUUACUGGGCGUAAAGCGUGCGCAGGCGGUCUUGCAAGACAGAUGUGAAAUCCCCGGGCUCAACCUGGGAACUGCAUUUGUGACUGCAAGGCUGGAGUGCGGCAGAGGGGGAUGGAAUUCCGCGUGUAGCAGUGAAAUGCGUAGAUAUGCGGAGGAACACCGAUGGCGAAGGCAAUCCCCUGGGCCUGCACUGACGCUGAGAAGCGAAAGCAUGGGGAGCGAACAGG